ACAACGUGUCUCUCUUCCUCCAACACCAAAGGGUGGCGCUGUGUGUGGUUGGGUUGGAAGUGUAACCCAUGUGACCUAGAGGCCAACUUCCUGCCAUGGUUUUAUUGUGACGAGCCCGCGCUACACCUUUAAAGUCCCUGGCUCCUCCCCCUUCGCGCUUGUUUGCUCCACUGAAUGGCUGCUGAAUGGCUGCUCUCACUGUGGCGUCACCAUGGUCGGCUUACUGAUUGAAAAUCACCACUGAAACAAAACCUUCAUAAGAAAUACCUGGAUGAACAUCUUCUCCUAUAACCUAGACAUCUCUCCACUCACCGGUCAGGUUUUUAUGUUAGUCCUGGAUCACCUACCACUCUCGACCACUAGAUGGCGAGCCACCACCCAACCACCGCUGCAUCGCGGUAGGAAUAUUUGAUCUUUUUGUUUCCUCGGACACUCAGACCUGAUACGUGGAUUAUACCCUGGGGACCUUUUCUGUUUUGUAUUUUUUUUCCCUCAAUGCGAAAGAACUUUGCGAAACCCUUCGCUUUCCAACUUGGCGAAAUCAAACGAACUGAACUGAACGCACCAAAGGAAAUGAACCUUGAACUGAACUUUGACUACAAGUUUUGAAAGAAGAAAAUAUUGUCUUUGUUUUGUAAUUGUAUUUUGUUUUUGUUUAUUGCCUAUACCUGGUUAUUAAUAACAACUAAAUAAUAUAUAUCAAUAUAAAUUGACUCCAAAUAUCUUUACUAUAUAUAAUAUCUUUAAUAUACAUAUACUAAAACGAAAUCCUUGUCUGUGUCCAAUUAUUCACACACCUUGGCUCUACAGCCGAACCUAUUUCUGUUGACCUUUUUCGCAGUCAGUUCCUGAGCCCUAGUGUGUUAUUUAUUUGUUACAGAAGGAAGGCUUUUAUAUAGUUGGACUUCUUGAUCCACUCUUUGGACUAUAUAGGGCACUAUAAAAUCCACGUUAACAGAAUUGCGGACAGAAUCGACCAAUAAAAACCAAAUUCACUGUUGAACGCGGAAAUGG
rnacentral:lncRNA from 1 species